rnacentral:rRNA from 1 species
UACGGGAGGCAGCAGUGAGGAAUAUUGGUCAAUGGGCGAGAGCCUGAACCAGCCAAGUAGCGUGAAGGAUGACUGCCCUAUGGGUUGUAAACUUCUUUUAUAAAGGAAUAAAGUCGGGUAUGCAUACCCGUUUGCAUGUACUUUAUGAAUAAGGAUCGGCUAACUCCGUGCCAGCAGCCGCGGUAAUACGGAGGAUCCGAGCGUUAUCCGGAUUUAUUGGGUUUAAAGGGAGCGUAGAUGGAUGUUUAAGUCAGUUGUGAAAGUUUGCGGCUCAACCGUAAAAUUGCAGUUGAUACUGGAUAUCUUGAGUGCAGUUGAGGCAGGCGGAAUUCGUGGUGUAGCGGUGAAAUGCUUAGAUAUCACGAAGAACUCCGAUUGCGAAGGCAGCCUGCUAAGCUGCAACUGACAUUGAGGCUCGAAAGUGUGGGUAUCAAACAGGAUUAGAUACCCUGGUAGUCCACACGGUAAACGAUGAAUACUCGCUGUUUGCGAUAUACUGCAAGCGGCCAAGCGAAAGCGUUAAGUAUUCCACCUGGGGAGUACGCCGGCAACGGUGAAACUCAAAGGAAUUGACGGGGGCCCGCACA